rnacentral:rRNA from 1 species
UACGGGAGGCAGCAGUGGGGAACUUGACAAUGGGGGAAACCCUGAUCUAGCCAUGCCGCGUGAGCGAUGAAGGCCUUAGGGUUGUAAAGCUUUUCAGCUGGAAGAUAAUGACGGUACCAGCAGAAGAAGCCCGGCUAACUCCGUGCCAGCAGCCGCGGUAAU